rnacentral:tRNA from 2 species
GGAGACUUACUCAAGUUGGCUGAAGAGGCGCCCCUGCUAAGGGUGUAGGUCGGUAAAACGGCGCGAGGGUUCGAAUCCCUCAGUCUCCG